rnacentral:rRNA from 1 species
GAUGAACGCUGGCGGCGUGCCUAAUACAUGCAAGUCGAGCGAACGGACGAGAAGCUUGCUUUUCUGAUGUUAGCGGCGGACGGGUGAGUAACACGUGGAUAACCUACCUAUAAGACUGGGAUAACUUCGGGAAACCGGAGCUAAUACCGGAUAAUAUUUUGAACCGCAUGGUUCAAAAGUGAAAGACGGUCUUGCUGUCACUUAUAGAUGGAUCCGCGCUGCAUUAGCUAGUUGGUAAGGUAACGGCUUACCAAGGCAACGAUGCAUAGCCGACCUGAGAGGGGAACCGGCCCAUCGGGAACUGGAACCGGUCCCAACCCCCCACGGGGGGACCGGUUGGGGAAUUUUCCCGAAUGGGCAAAACCCUGAAGGGACAACGCCGGGGGGGUGAAGAAGGCUUCCGGAUCGAAAAACUCUUUUUUUAGGGAAAAAAAAAUGUUUAAGUAACGGUGCAAAUUUUGGCGGUACCUAAUCAAAAAGCCCCGGCUAACUAGGG